rnacentral:rRNA from 1 species
CCUACGGGAGGCAGCAGUGGGGAAUAUUGCACAAUGGGGGAAACCCUGAUGCAGCGACGCCGCGUGAGUGAAGACGUCAUUCGUUAUUUAAAGCUCUAUCAGCAGGGAAGAAAAUGACGGUACCUGAGUAAUAAGCCCCGGCUAACUACGUGCCAGCAGCCGCGGUACUACGUAGGGGGCAAGCGUUAUCCGGAUUUACUGGGUGUAAAGGGAGCGUAUACGGCAUUGCAAGUCUGGAGUGAAAGGCGGGGGCUCAACCCCCGGACUGCCCUGGAAACUGUACGGCUGGAGUGCAGGAGAGGUAAGUGGAAUUCGUGGUGUAGCGGUGAAAUGCGUAGAUAUUAGGAGGAACACCAGUGGCGAAGGCGGCUUACUGGACUGUAACUGACGUUGAGGCUCGAAAGCGUGGGGAGCAAACAGGAUUAGAUACCCGAGUAGUC